UACAGAGGGUGCAAGCGUUAAUCGGAAUUACUGGGCGUAAAGCGUGCGCAGGCGGUUUUGUAAGCCAGAUGUGAAAUCCCCGGGCUCAACCUGGGAACUGCAUUUGUGACUGCAUAGCUAGAGUACGGUAGAGGGGGAUGGAAUUCCGCGUGUAGCAGUGAAAUGCGUAGAUAUGCGGAGGAACACCGAUGGCGAAGGCAAUCCCCUGGACCUGUACUGACGCUCAUGCACGAAAGCGUGGGGAGCAAACAGG
rnacentral:rRNA from 1 species